rnacentral:rRNA from 1 species
UGACCUCAAAUCAGGUAGGACUACCCGCUGAACUUAAGCAUAUCAAUAAGCGGGAGGAA